GAUGAACGCUGGCGGCGUGCCUAAUACAUGCAAGUCGAGCGAACAGACGAGGAGCUUGCUCCUCUGACGUUAGCGGCGGACGGGUGAGUAACACGUGGAUAACCUACCUAUAAGACUGGGAUAACUUCGGGAAACCGGAGCUAAUACCGGAUAAUAUAUUGAACCGCAUGGUUCAAUAGUGAAAGACGGUUUUGCUGUCACUUAUAGAUGGAUCCGCGCCGCAUUAGCUAGUUGGUAAGGUAACGGCUUACCAAGGCGACGAUGCGUAGCCGACCUGAGAGGGUGAUCGCCCACACUGGAACUGAGACACGGCCCAGACUCCUACGGUAGGCAGCAGUAGGGAAUCUUCCGCAAUGGGCGAAAGCCUGACGGAGCAACGCCGCGUGAGUGAUGAAGGUCUUCGGAUCGUAAAACUCUGUUAUUAGGGAAGAACAAAUGUGUAAGUAACUAUGCACGUCUUGACGGUACCUAAUCAGAAAGCCACGGCUAACUACGUG
rnacentral:rRNA from 1 species